UACAGAGGGUGCAAACGUUGUUCGGAUUUACUGGGCGUAAAGCGCGUGUAGGCUGCUUCGCAAGUCGGAUGUGAAAGCCCUGGGCUCAACCCAGGAAGUGCAUUCGAAACUGCAGAGCUGGAGUCCUGGAGAGGAAGGCGGAAUUCUCGGUGUAGAGGUGAAAUUCGUAGAUAUCGAGAGGAACACCGGUGGCGAAGGCGGCCUUCUGGACAGUGACUGACGCUGGAGAACGCGAAAGCGUGGGGAGCAAACAGG
rnacentral:rRNA from 1 species